GUGCCAGCAGCCGCGGUAAGACAGAAGAGGCAAGCGUUACCCGGAAUUACUGGGCGUAAAGCGUCCGCAGGUGGUGUGGUAAGUCUGUCAUUAAAUGCCUGUGCUCAACAUAGGCGCUGUGAUGGAAACUAUCAUACUAGAGGAAAGGAGAGGUAUGCGGAAUAGUGCAAGUAGGGGUAAAAUCCGUAGAUAUGCACUGGAACACCAAAAGCGAAGGCAGCAUACUGGCCUUUUCCUGACACUCAGGGACGAAAGCGUGGGGAGCAAAACGGAUUAGAUACCCGUGUAGUCCACGCCGUAAACGAUGCAUGCUCGGUGUGGGGACCCUCGACCUGGUCCCCGUGCCCAAGGUAACCCGUUAAGCAUGCCGCCUGUGUAGUACGGCCGCAAGGCUAAAACACAAAGGAAUAGACGGGGGCCCACACAAGCGGUGGAUCGUGGGGUUUAAUUCGAUAAUAAGCGAGUAACCUUACCUAGACUUGACAUCCCUAUCAUACCCCUCAGAGAUGAGGGGGUCGGUUCGGCCGGAUAGGUGACAGGCGCUGCAUGGUUGUCGUCAGCUCGUGCCUUGAGGUGUUCGGUUAAGUCCGUUAACGAGCGCAACCCUGGUCGUGUGUUGUAUUUUCACGCGAGACUGCCGGUUUUAAGCCGGAGGAAGGUCAGGAUGACGUCAAAUCAGCAUGGCCCUUAUGUCUAGGGCUACACCCGCGAUACAAUGGCUGGUACAAACCGAAGCAAUACAGCGAUGUGGAGCCAAUCGGAACAAGACCAGUCUCAGUUCGGAUUGCAGUCUGAAACUCGACUGCAUGAAGCCGGAAUCGCU
rnacentral:rRNA from 1 species